rnacentral:lncRNA from 1 species
CUAGAAGCCAAGAGGAUAGACAUGUGCAGAAAUAAUUUACAGUUCAGAUCUAUAUCUGAGAAGUCUAGAAAGGUACACUAGAAAAAUCUACAAAGUACCAAGGUAGCUACAAGGAAAGGGAUACCUCUUUAUCAGGGGAAAGAGAGCUGUAAUCAAGGGCAACUUCACAAAGCAGGUUGAGUCUUAAAAAAUGAAAAGUAAUUUGUCAGAAGAGUACAGGGAAGCAUUUCAGAUGAAGGAACUGAUAAAAGCAUAAAAAGUAAGAGCAAUUUUGUAAACUAAGAAUAAUACUGCAGUUGAAGCUUGGCAUGUUGUUAAAAAGGUUCUGUGAUGAAGUAGAGAAGAGAAUAUACUGUGACUUUAUAUGUCUGUCCUGUAUUUUGAAAUUUUGUUUAGUUUCUGAUUGUUUUUUUCACUGAUGCUUGGGUGAAUUCAUUAAUGAAUCUUUGAGGUGUUUGUGUGCCUGUAUCCUGGUGACAUCUAGUAUUUCCCAAAUGGUUUGUUGAAGUUUUUGAUCAUUGGAAGUAUUUCUUAAAGAAGUAAAUAUUCAUCUGAAGACAAAUAUUGACUUAAGCUGUCAUUUGAUACAAUGUUUUAAAUCUGUGUUUUAAAUAAAGAUUAUGUCUUUUAUCUAAAUAUUCUAAAUAAUUUUAACCAAACAUGCAGAUUUGUCAGGAGAACUAGACUUGGAAGUGAUAUUGGAGGAAGAACAAGAAAAACCUGAUGGAGAUGAAAAUAACCGUUUACAGGUUCAAGAAGAAAAGAAGCACGAAAGUAGUGAAGUGGAAGUAUCAGACAACAAAUGUGAUGCUGCUGAUGAGAGUGGAUUGAUUCAGCAGAGAAAGAGUGGAAGAAACAGCAGCCAGGAGUUUCCUGCUAUGGAGAAUGAAGAUUUUGAUAGGUAAUCCUGUAUCAAUAUUUAACAUCAGGCCAUUUGUUAUUUUCCUAUAAAGCAAUUUCUAACUUGAACUGAUGUUUGUGAUUUACACAUUUUACAUUUUACUAGGGAUAUAGUUAUUUUUAAUACUCUUGUCCUUUAGCCUUAANNNNNNNNNNNNNNUCCUUUGUUAACAUACCACCAUGUUACAUAUUGGAAUAUUCUGGAUUUGACUGCAUACUUGUCUUAAUCAGUGUGUUGUAUAUUUAAAUUUGUUUCAUUGCUAAUGAACAUCUUUUCAUUUCAGUUUGAGGACUUCUUUCAGCAUUUCUC